rnacentral:rRNA from 1 species
GACGAACGCUGGCGGCGUGCUUAACACAUGCAAGUCGAACGGUGAAGGGACCAGCUUGCUGGUUCUGGAUGAGUGGCGAACGGGUGAGUAACACGUGAGUAACCUGCCCCCUUCUUCUGGAUAACCGCAUGAAAGUGUGGCUAAUACGGGAUAUUCUGGGUCUGUCGCAUGGCGGGCCCGGGAAAGAUAUUGCUUCGGUGGGGGAUGGGCUCGCGGCCUAUCAGCUUGUUGGUGGGGUGAUGGCCUACCAAGGCGGUGACGGGUAGCCGGCCUGAGAGGGUGGACGGUCACACUGGGACUGGGACACGGCCCAGACUCCUACGGGAGGCAGCAGUGGGGAAUAUUGCACAAUGGGCGCAAGCCUGAUGCAGCGACGCCGCGUGAGGGAUGGAGGCCUUCGGGUUGUAAACCUCUUUCGCCAGUGAAGCAGGCCUGCUCCUUGUGGGUGGGUUGACGGUAGCUGGAUAAGAAGCGCCGGCUAACUACGUG